AUCUGCCCUGGGUUAGUCGGGGCCUAAGGCGAGGCCGACAGGCGUAGUCGAUGGAGAACGGGUUGAUAUUCCCGUACCAGUGAAGGACCGUCCAUACUGAUAUUGUGAUGCUAACCAUGCCGAUCACGGUGUCAUGAAGUUUUUCUUUGUGGUGUUGUGGGGUGUGUGGGACCCAAGCUUUGGAGGUAAGCGUGUUAACAGGUGUGACGCAGGAAGGUAGCCAAGCCACGCGGUGGUUGUCGUGGUCUAAGCGUGUAGGAUGGUUGGUUGUUAAAUGCGCCAGCUGUGUGUCUGAGACGUGAUGGGACCCCGUUGUUGGGGGAUUUGGUGAUCCUAUGCUGUCGAGAAAAGCAUCGGCGUGAGGUUUGAGCUGCCCGUACCCGAAACCGACACAGGUGAUCAGGUAGAGAAUACUAAGGCGAUCGAGAGAAUCAUGGUUAAGGAACUCGGCAAAAUGCCCCCGUAACUUCGGGAGAAGGGGGGCCCGAACCCUGAAACGGCUGGCCCGUUAGGGGGGUGGGCCGCAGAGAGCAGGGGGGAGCGACUGUUUACUAAAAACACAGGUCCGUGCGAAGCCGUAAGGCGAUGUAUACGGACUGACGCCUGCCCGGUGCUGGAAGGUUAAGAGGAACCAUCAACCCCCUUGUGGGGUGAAGUGGUGAAUUUAAGCCCCAGUAAACGGCGGUGGUAACUAUAACCAUCCUAAGGUAGCGAAAUUCCUUGUCGGGUAAGUUCCGACCUGCACGAAUGGAGUAACGACUUCCCUACUGUCUCAACCAUGAACUCGGUGAAAUUGCAGUACGAGUAAAGAUGCUCGUUUCGCGCAGCAGGACGGAAAGACCCCGUGACCUUUACUAUAGUUUGGUAUUGGUGUUUGGGUUGGCUUGUGUAGGAUAGGUGGGAGACUGUGAAGCCGUCACGCUAGUGGUGGUGGAGUCGUUGUUGAAAUACCACUCUGGUCAAUCUGAGCGUCUAACUUCGGGCCAUGAUCUGGUUCAGGGACAGUGCCUGAUGGGUAGUUUAACUGGGGCGGUUGCCUCCUAAAGUGUAACGGAGGCGCCCAAAGGUUCCCUCAGCCUGGUUGGCAAUCAGGUGUUGAGUGUAAGUGCACAAGGGAGCUUGACUGUGAGAGUGGCGGCUCGAGCAGGUGCGAAAGCAGGGACUAGUGAUCCGGCAGUGGCGUGUGGAAGCGCUGUCGCUCAACGGAUAAAAGGUACCUCGGGGAUAACAGGCUGAUCUUGCCCAAGAGUCCAUAUCGACGGCAUGGUUUGGCACCUCGAUGUCGGCUCGUCGCAUCCUGGGGCUGGAGUCGGUCCCAAGGGUUGGGCUGUUCGCCCAUUAAAGCGGUACGCGAGCUGGGUUCAGAACGUCGUGAGACAGUUCGGUCCCUAUCCGCUGCGUGCGUUGGAGAAUUGAGAAAGGCUGUCCUUAGUACGAGAGGACCGGGACGGACGAACCUCUGGUAUGUCAGUUGUACCGCCAGGUGCAUGGCUGAUUGGCUACGUUCGGGAGGGAUAACCGCUGAAGGCAUCUAAGCGGGAAGCCUGUUUCGAGAUGAGUUCUCCUGGCACCCUUUGGGUGUGUGAGGCUCCUUAGAGAUGAUGAGGUUGAUAGGCCGGGUAUGGAAGCGUUGUAAGGCGUGGAGUUGACUGGUACUAAUAGGCCGAAGACUUAUUCAC
rnacentral:rRNA from 1 species